CACGUAGGCGGCUUCGCAAGUCGGAUGUGAAAUCCCACGGCUCAACCAUGGACGUGCAUCCGAAACUGCGGGGCUUGAGUAUGGAAGAGGGUCGCGGAAUUCCCGGUGUAGAGGUGAAAUUCGUAGAUAUUGGGAAGAACACCGGUGGCGAAGGCGGCGACCUGGUCCUUGACUGACGCUGAGGCGCGAAAGCGUGGGGAGCAAACA
rnacentral:rRNA from 1 species